rnacentral:lncRNA from 1 species
GAAUUUGCACAACUGAGCUACUUCAGGCUAUGGUCAAUUUUUGGAGUAUAAUUUUCAUGCUUAUGAUGUGCAUGAUGAUAAACUUAAAAGAAGAGAUAUUUUAUUAAACUAUGCUUCAAAAUAUUAGAAAAUGUUUGUGAUUUAUAGGUGUUAGCCAAUUACUAUUCUGUUCUUUUUUUAUAACCUCCUUAUUUUAGGUCUUUACAUAUUAGAUGUCUUUAAACUAAUAUAAGAGCUAUUAUUUAGAGCUCUCUAAAUAAAAGAAAAUACAGGUUACCAAUUUAAAAGCACAUCUGGUAUUUUUACUGUAUUUUAUGUAUGAAUUAAAAAUAUUAUUUGUAUAUUACAUUGAGAAUUACUUCAACUGGAAUGAAUGGAAAAAGAAAAUAUUGUGAGAUGCUUUGGAACAUUCUUGGGACAAUUGUACACUUGAUUAAAUACAAUGGAAAGGACAUUUCGUUAAGUGCAUAAAUUGGAUUCAGUGAACUGACCAGCACAAAGAAUUAUGUUGAAAAGCAUGAAAAAGUAACCAUGGUAGCAGCUCCAAGGAAGAUGGUUAAAUAAAUCUUCAACCAAGUCUGAGGCUUUACCAAGAAAAUAAGAAGGCAAGUUUAAUUAAGUCAAACAAGUUCUAUACAUUCUAUACAUUAUUUGAUAAAAAGUGUAUAUUUAGAGCAUACAAUGCAGUUACAGUGGAGAAAGUGAUGUUGCUAACGUAAAAUGUUAUUUUUUGCCUUUCAAUGGGAGAUAACUCAUUGUAAAAUGUGCAGAUGAUUUACCUUUAUGAACAAUAAAAUAUGUUUAAACCAUUAUUUUUGUGGAGUUGAAAUUCAAUAAGUAAAUUUAUAAG